GACGAACCGUGCGAACGUUAUUCGGAAUCACUGGGCUUAAAGCGCGUGUAGGCGGCCCGGCACGUCCGUUGCUGAAAGCCCCCGGCUCAACCGGGGAAGGGGCGCGGAUACGACCGGGCUGGAGGGGGGUAGGGGGAUCGGGAACUUCCGGUGGAGCGGUGAAAUGCGUUGAGAUCGGAAGGAACGCCCGUGGCGAAAGCGCGGUCCUGGGCCCCACCUGACGCUGAGACGCGAAAGCCAGGGGAGCGAACGGG
rnacentral:rRNA from 1 species